UACGGAGGGUGCGAGCGUUGUCCGGAAUCACUGGGCGUAAAGGGCGCGUAGGCGGUCUUUUAAGUCUUGUGUGAAAUCCCUCGGCUCAACUGAGGAACUGCACGGGAUACUGGAAGACUUGAGUUCGGGAGAGGGAAGCGGAAUUCCGGGUGUAGCGGUGAAAUGCGUAGAUAUCCGGAGGAACACCGGUGGCGAAGGCGGCUUCCUGGACCGACACUGACGCUGAGGCGCGAAAGCUAGGGGAGCAAACGGG
rnacentral:rRNA from 1 species